AGGUGCAUGCAAUGAGCCUGAGUGACUGGAAGGGAUCCAGGAUAAACCCCUUCCCAGACCUCAUCUAGGGGCUGGCAAUGGAGGAAAUGUUUAGUGCUAAACAGUAACUGAAGACUGGUGGCAGUCUCCUUAUGGAGUGGCAGAAGUCCAAAUUUUGCAGUGCUUUUCCUUCAGAUGUUGGUUGAUGAGCCAGUGGAACAUGGUCAUUACUUCUGAACUGAAAAGCCAGGAUUUCUCUAUGUUGCUAUAAUCCCAGCUGCAGCCAUGCUAGCAUAUGAGAACAAGACAUAAAAAGAGUUUUUCCACUUGAUGAAGUAGACAUGUUAAAUUUCACUGUCCGAACUUUCUUGAAAUUCAGAAUAUAAUGACUGGUUGGGAGAUUAUCCAUGGUAGUUUUAAACUUAGAAUAUAUGCAUUUUUCAUCUGCACUUAAGCAAGUAAAGGUAACGGCUUAAAGAAUUACUUAAGAAUAUUGGAUCAUAUACUAAGUGACUUCAAGGCAGUGGGGUUCAGCAUUUGAAGAUAAUUUUCUUCAUGUUGUAAUACGUCUAGUGAAGAUCUGUAUAUGAGUAGUAAUAAUAAAAUUCUUUAU
ensembl:lncRNA